rnacentral:lncRNA from 8 species
GAAUAGGUCUAUCGGACACUUUUCUUGGGCCACUAUAACUAACUAUUUUGCCAACUUGGACUGGUCCCCCCUUCCACACGGAACCCCACUAACCCACAGACGGAAACGCACGAGGUGGCUAAAAACAGACCUCCCUCCAUCUUCCACCAGCUUGCUACCUAUGGCCCGGCUAGCUGUCUGAAUCUCACUGGACCCUUUGAUCACACGGCUAAGCAUGCCUCUCCUCAAUGUCAAUAUGCAAUGUCCAUUGCUGUUCUGGUUAGUGUUUAUUGGCUUAUUUCACUGUAGAGCCUCUAGCCCUGCUCAUUAUACCUUAUCCAACCUCUCAGUUCCUCCACCCACACAUGCUAUGACAUCUUCUGGUUUCAAUGAUGUUUCUAGAGACAAUAUCUCUCUCAUCAUCACUAAAUGCCUAGGUUUACCUCCUCUGUAUUCACAUCCCACCAUACCUUUGUCUGUACAUUAUACCUUGAAGCUAUUUUAUCGCCCCCAGAAACCUGCUCCUUUUUCUCUCUAUUCUGGACGUCACAGACGACCAAUUCUUAUAGCUUUUAGCCGUACCCUUAUACUCAUUCUUCUCUGCUCCUCUGGGGAUGUAGAGGUGAAUCCAGGCCCUGCAGUGCCUGGCUCCACUCCUACUCCCCAGGCGCUCUCUUUUGAUGACUUCUGUAACCGUAAUAGCCUUGGUUUCAUGCAUGUUAACAUUAGAAGCCUCCUCCCUAAGUUUGUUUUAUUCACUGCUUUAGCACACUCUGCCAACCCGGAUGUCCUAGCUGUGUCUGAAUCUUGGCUUAGGAAGUCCACCAAAAACUCUGAAAUCUUCAUCCCUAACUACAACGUUUUCAGACAAGAUAGAACGACCAAAGGGGGCGGUGUUGCAAUCUACUGCAGAGAUAGCCUGCAGAGCUCUGUCCUGCUAUCCAGGUCUGUACCCAAACAAUUUGAACGUCUACUUUUAAAAAUCCACCUCUCCAAAAACAAGUCUCUCACCGUCGCCGCCUGCUAUAGACCCCCCUCGGCCCCUAGCUGUGCUCUGGACACCAUAUGUGAACUGAUUGCCCCCCAUCUAUCUUCAGAGCUCGUGCUACUAGGUGACCUAAACUGGGACAUGCUUAACACCCCAGCCAUCCUACAAUCCAAGCUUGAUGGCCUCAAUCUCACACAAAUGAUUAAUGAACCCACCAGGUACAACCCCAAAGCCGCAAACACUGGCACCCUCAUAGAUAUCAUCCUAACCAACGUGCCCUCUAAAUACACCUCUGCUGUUUUCAACCAAGAUCUCAGCGAUCACUGCCUC